rnacentral:lncRNA from 14 species
GGGUGAGCACGCUGGUGCUGCAGCAGCUGGCGGGCAGUUGGUGGCUCGGCAGGUAGAGCAGGGCAGCAGGAGCCGCAGCCGCGUCGUCCCUGAGGAGGGUCUGCCUGGAGCCGAGCGGGCGAGCGCGGGGCUGCCUUUGGGCUGCCCCUGAACUGCCAAGGACGCUGGGGGCAGGGUCCCGCUGGACACAGCCGAUCAGCGGCCCUUGCCCCUCGGCGAUCUCUUCGCUGUCCCGCGCCGCUUGCUGUGAGGUCUGUCAGCGCGGCGCGGAGUCCGCCUCAGCCGCUCUUCUCGCCUGCCCCAGCGCCUUCUCCUGGCUGCGGUUCACUGCUUGUUUAAUGUGUCUAAAACUUGCCCAUUCCACCCCGACCUUGCGCUGCUCCCCGCUGAAACCGCUUUGGUGCUAGCGCAGAUGGUGCUCAGCGGAGGAGUCCCGGGCUGAAAGGCAGCCUGGCAAGAAGGAAAACGAGAAAAAAACUAAUUCAGGGUAAUUUUCUCCAAAUCAGUUCAGAUAAUGGCACAGAUUACUCUGUUUGCACCGUAUGAAAGGGGGAGGGAGAGCAAGGACUGCUGAAGAAAGCUGUGACAGGUUGAAUGCGUGCUACGCGUUUACAAGGGUGUUUUUCAACAGCAAUGUUUGUGUAAGAAGUCUGAAGCAUCUGUGCGCCAAUACAGCUGCUCCUGUGGCUCCACGAACUUGGAAGGACAUCUGUGUUCUGCACUGUGAAAGCUCAGUUCAGAGAUUGCUUAAAGGAAAAUACUUGCAGACAACUAGUGAGGUACUCUCUUCCUGUCACCUCUGGAUCGUCAUGUCUCUGUUGAGGACAGAAGAGGAUCAAGCCCUAUACAGAAAACCAUGA